UACGAAGGGGGCUAGCGUUGCUCGGAAUCACUGGGCGUAAAGCGCACGUAGGCGGUUUGUUAAGUCGGAUGUGAAAUCCCUCGGCUCAACUGAGGAAGUGCACCCGAAACUGGCAGGCUUGAGUACUAAAGAGGGUCGCGGAAUUCCCGGUGUAGAGGUGAAAUUCGUAGAUAUCGGGAGGAACACCGGUGGCGAAGGCGGCGACCUGGGUAGAUACGAGAGCGCAUGACGGU
rnacentral:rRNA from 1 species